rnacentral:rRNA from 1 species
UACGUAGGUGGCAAGCGUUGUCCGGAUUUACUGGGCGUAAAGAGCGCGCAGGCGGUCGUUUAAGUCGAAUGUGAAAGCCCCCGGCUCAACUGGGGGAGGUCAUUCGAUACUGAUCGACUUGAAGGCAGGAGAGAGAAGUGGAAUUCCCGGUGUAGUGGUGAAAUGCGUAGAUAUCGGGAGGAACACCAGUGGCGAAGGCGGACUUCUUGGCCUGUUCUUGACGCUGAGGCGCGAAAGCUGGGGGAGCAACAGG